CCUAAUGUUUUAGGAGUCAGUCCAGAGCCGACUGAAGCCAUCAGAAAGCAUCUCAUCAGUGUCAGUGAGCUCUGGAUUGGCUCUGGGAUGAGUGAAAACUUGCCAAUUUCAGCUGYAUGUAUGACACCAAGAAACCUGCUGAAAAUAGACAGUUUACAUAUACAGAAACAGUUCCUGUUUAUCAGCUGCUGUUGUUCAGGGGUCAUCUCUCGCAAAUGAACUGUGACUGGAGCGUUGCUACGGAUGGGGACAYGUGCAGAGGUGGCUCUGAACUGCUGCGCUCCUCUGACAUUCGGAAAGAGCAGCUUCAGCCAGUUUAAAAAUGGAAGUGAUCACUUUUCACGCCAGUCAUGCACGUCCGUCCUUGUGGGCAACGCGAGGCGUGUGCGUAGAAAUGCYCUCUGGCACGGCGAGGCGACCUGUUGCAAAUCUGUUCAAUUUUUGUUCUCAUACCAAAUCRCAACAGCGACCUCAGCAAUACCAGCGUUGUCUGUGCACAAAUACAAAGUUAUCACAGAAGUUCUGUUUGACAACACAGCUCGGGUAGMGCGGCAGUUGUGUGGCCUUUCAGCGAGACGUAUAAACAAGUGCAGUGUUGUCAGAAUGGCUUAUCAGCGCUGCUCCAGAGAGGGCAAGAUAACAAGAGAUGCUAAAGACUUUCCCUUGGGAACUUGGAGCCACAAAGCUCGCACAAGGUCACCGUCUUCUUGUCCUGACGCUGAACCCACACUGGUCUCAGCUUGACCAGGCUUAAGAACUUGGACCAAGACAUCAUGUAACAGGAGUUCUGUAACCUGAAAGAAAAAUCUUUGGGUAUUGAAAAAAAGAUUUAUUUAUUUUUUUUUUUUUUAACCAUGGAUUUGAAAUCUGGUCAUUUUUGGAUUACUCUGCAACUGAAAUAGAGGGAAGAGGGAGAAAAUGAUGGUGUGGAGCAGAGAAACAGCCUUCACCGGGAGCAGACGUGCUCUUGCAUGGGCCAGAGACAGAUGUCUUCGAUUUGGUUGAACUAAGACUCUCACAAAAUCAUAUCCUGAACACAUGUAGUAUGUUUUUUGCUGCUCAUUUARUUCUGUUGAAAAYRAUCUCACUAGUCAGCGAGGCUCAUUGAACUUUAAUGGARCUUCCUGCAGCGUGAGAUGUUACACAACACGGGUCAGGAUCUGACCCAAAGAGAAGAAUUGCAUAAAGAGAUAUUACUCAACCUGAGAGAAAUGUCAGCGAGUUCAGUAUGC
ensembl:lncRNA